GAAAAGUUGUAGUUAGAAUUGUUAAGCAUCACACUCCCCACCUGGCUUACCUUUUGUUAUGCCACUAACCUUUGGACAGAAGUAAAACUACUUCAGAAAUUGGCCUAGCAUACACCUUGGGAAUGCCCUGUCUAACAAUUCUAACUUCAACCUUUCUAACUCUAGCAUCACUACUAGGAUCAGUCCCCACAAUGAGUCCAAUAGGCCAUUCGUUCCUGUGGGCCUGAGUGUCUUUUAAUAAGACAAUGUCUCCAACUUGUAAGUUGGGUUUGUCAUCUUGCCAUUUCUUGCGUGGCUGGAGUGUCACCAGGUAUUCCUGUCUCC